UGGGGAAUAUUGGACAAUGGGGGGAACCCUGAUCCAGCCAUGCCGCGUGUGUGAAGAAGGCCUUAUGGUUGUAAAGCACUUUAAGCGAGGAGGAGGGUACUGGUAUUAAUACUACCAGGUACUGGACGUGACUCGCAGAAUAAGCACCGGCUAACUCUGUGCCAGCAGCCGCGGUAAUACAGAGGGUGCAAGCGUUAAUCGGAAUUACUGGGCGUAAAGCGCGCGUAGGUGGUUCGUUAAGUUGAAUGUGAAAGCCCCGGGCUCCACCUGGGAACUGCAUCCAAAACUGGCUAGCUAGAGUAGGGCAGAGGGUGGUGGAAUUUCCUGUGUAGCGGUGAAAUGCGUAGAUAUAGGAAGGAACACCAGUGGCGAAGGCGACCACCUGGGCUCAUACUGACACUGAGGUGCGAAAGCGUGGGGAGCAAACAGG
rnacentral:rRNA from 1 species